AGAGUUUGAUCAUGGCUCAGGACGAACGCUGGCGGCAUGCCUAACACAUGCAAGUCUAGGGGUAGCAAUACCACUGGCGCACGGGUGAGUAACACGUAGGUUAUCUACCCCCAUCACAGACAUAACCCCGGGAAACCGGGGCUAAUAUCUGAUGAGGUCGCGAGAUCAAAGCUUCGGCGGAUGGGGAUGAGCCUGCGGCUGAUUAGCUAGUUGGUGAGGUAAUGGCUCACCAAGGCGACGAUCAGUAGCUGGUCUGAGAGGACGAACAGCCACACUGGAACUGAGACACGGUCCAGACUCCUACGGGAGGCAGCAGUGAGGAAUAUUGGUCAAUGGGAGCAAUCCUGAACCAGCAAUGCCGCGUGUGGGAUGACAGGGCUUCGCCUUGUAAACCACUGUCGGACGGGACGAAAGGAGGCCACGGGCCUCUGGGACGGUACCGUCAAAGGAAGGGUCGGCUAACUACGUGCCAGCAGCCGCGGUAAU
rnacentral:rRNA from 1 species